AGAGUUUGAUUCUGGCUCAGAACGAACGCUGGCGGCGUGGAUUAGGCAUGCAAGUCGAACGAUCCCGAUUAUUCGGGAUAGUGGCAAAAGGGCGAGUAACACGUGGGUAACCUACCUUCGAAACCGGGAUAACUUUGCGAAAGCGAGGCUAAUACCGGAUAAGACCACGGUUCAUAAGAACUGCGGCAAAAGGAAGCCUCUAUUUAUAAGCUACCAUUUGGAGAGGGGCCUGCGUCCUAUCAGCUAGUUGGUGAGGUAACGGCUCACCAAGGCUAUUGACGGGUAGCUGGUCUGAGAGGAUGGUCAGCCGCACUGGGACUGAGACACUGCCCAGACUCCUACGGGAGGCUGCAGUCGAGAAUCUUUAGCAAUGCCCGAAAGGGUGACUAUGCGACGCCGCGUGAGUGAUGAAGGUCUUCGGAUUGUAAAACUCUGUCAAGUGGGAUGAAUACUCCAACCAUAACAUGGUUGGAGGGUGACAGUACCACUGAAGGAAGCCACGGCUAACUCCGUGCCAGCAGCCGCGGUAAUACGGAGGUGGCAAGCGUUGUUCGGAUUUAUUGGGUGUAAAGGGCAGGUACGGAAGAGGAGAACGGAAUUCCCGGUGUAAGGGUGAAAUCUGUAGAGAUCGGGAAGAACACCAGUGGCGAAAGCGGUUCUCUAGUACGUUACUGACACUGAACUGCGAAAGCUAGGGGAGCAAACAGGAUUAGAUACCCUGGUAGUCCUAGCCGUAAACGAUGAGCACUAGGUGCGGGCUCGCAAGGGUCUGUGCCGCAGUUAACACAUUAAGUGCUCCACCUGGGGACUACGGCCGCAAGGUUGAAACUCAAAGAAAUUGACGGGGACCCGCACAAGCGGUGGAGCAUGUGGUUUAAUACGACGCUACGCGUGGAACCUUACCAGGAUUUGACAUCCCGCCUCAUGCCGUAGCUGAAAGGCCGGGGCUGCGCAAGCAGGGUGGGACAGGUGUUGCAUGGCUGUCGUCAGCUCGUGUCGUGAGAUGUUGGGUUAAGUCCCGCAACGAGCGCAACCAUUGUCUUUAGUUGCUAACCAGUAAUGGAGCACUCUAGAGAGACUGCCGGUGUUUUAACCGGAGGAAGGUGGAGAUGACGUCAAGUCAGUACGGCCCUUACAUCCUGGGCUACACACGUGCUACAAUGGCCGGUACAAAGGGCAGCAAAUCCGCGAGGAUGAGCAAAUCCCAAAAAGCCGGCCUCAGUUCGGAUUGAGGGCUGCAGUUCGCCUUCAUGAAGUUGGAAUCGCUAGUAUCCGCGCAUCAGCUACGGCGCAGUGAAUACGUUCCCGGGUCUUGUACACACCGCCCGUCAAGCCACCUGAGUCGAGUGCACCCGAAGCCGCCAUACCAACCCGCAAGGGGGGAAGGCGUCGAAGGUGUGUUCGGUAAGGAGGGCUAAGUCGUAACAAGGUA
rnacentral:rRNA from 1 species